UGGGGAAUAUUGGACAAUGGGCGAAAGCCUGAUCCAGCCAUGCCGCGUGUGUGAAGAAGGUCUUCGGAUUGUAAAGCACUUUAAGUUGGGAGGAAGGGUUGUAGAUUAAUACUCUGCAAUUUUGACGUUACCGACAGAAUAAGCACCGGCUAACUCUGUGCCAGCAGCCGCGGUAAUACAGAGGGUGCAAGCGUUAAUCGGAAUUACUGGGCGUAAAGCGCGCGUAGGUGGUUUGUUAAGUUGGAUGUGAAAUCCCCGGACUCAACCUGGGAACUGCAUCCAAAACUGGCAAGCUAGAGUAUGGUAGAGGGUGGUGGAAUUUCCUGUGUAGCGGUGAAAUGCGUAGAUAUAGGAAGGAACACCAGUGGCGAAGGCGACCACCUGGACUGAUACUGACACUGAGGUGCGAAAGCGUGGGGAGCAAACAGGAUUAGAUACCCCCGUAGUCCCUGAGCGGGCUGGCAAGGCGCAU
rnacentral:rRNA from 1 species